rnacentral:rRNA from 1 species
AACGAACGCUGGCGGCAGGCUUAACACAUGCAAGUCGAACGCCCCGCAAGGGGGGUGGCAGACGGGUGAGUAACGCGUGGGAACGUACCUUUCGCUUCGGAAUAUUCCCGGGAAACUGGGAGCAAUGCCGAAUACGCCGUAUUGGGAAAGAUUUAUCGGCGAAAGAUCGGCCCGCGUUAGAUUAGGUAGUUGGCGGUGUAAUGGACCACCAAGCCUACGAUCUAUAGCUGGUCUGAGAGGAUGAUCAGCCACACUGGGACUGAGACACGGCCCAGACUCCUACGGGAGGCAGCAGUGGGGAAUCUUGGACAAUGGGCGCAAGCCUGAUCCAGCCAUGCCGCGCGAGUGAAGAAGGCCUUAGGGUUGUAAAACUCUUUCGCCGGAGAAGAUAAUGACGGUAUCCGGAGAAGAAGCCCCGGCUAACUUCGUGCCAGCCGCCGCCGUAA